GGAGUCUGGGCCGUGUCUCAGUCCCAAUGUGGCCGUUCAACCUCUCAGUCCGGCUACUGAUCGUCGACUUGGUGAGCCGUUACCUCACCAACUAUCUAAUCAGACGCGAGCCCAUCUUUGAGUGAUAAAUCUUUGAUACAAAAAUCAUGUGGUCUCUGUAUGUUAUGAGGUAUUACCAUCCGUUUCCAGAAGCUAUCCCUCUCUCAAAGGCAGGUUGCUCACGUGUUACUCACCCGUCCGCCACUAAGAAUAUUCAGUAAACCAAAUAUUCUCCGUUCGACUUGCAUGUGUUAAGCGUGCCGCCAGCGUUCGUCUCGAGCCACUGAUCAAACUACU
rnacentral:rRNA from 1 species